UUUUUUUCCCUGCCCUAACGCUAACCCGGCCCUUUCCCUCAUCACACGCCGAAUUUCUUUCUCCUCUGUACUCGCUCGCCGCUCCCCCACCCUAAGCGCCGCUCCGAUCCUCUCCCUUUCUCUUCCGUUAACUGCUCUCGUCAUCGCUGCUUUUCUCCUUGCUCCUCCCUAAUCUGCUCUCAGCGGCGCUCCUCUCCCUUUAUCCUCCCUCUGCUCUCGUUCGUUGCCGCUCCUCUCCUUAAUCUGCUCUCACUGUCGCUAGGAUCUUCACCCACGCUCACGCAUACCUGUGCCGCCGCCGGCCUCCACCACGAUUCCUCCACAGCACUGCCUACACGCUGUGAUUCUGCCUUUCUCCUCCCAAACUCAUUCUUGUCGUCGCUGCUCCUAAUCUGCGGAUCUCACCGUGAUUUGUUGUGGAUUGGAAGAAUUUAAUAGUCACCUUGCUCCUUUCUACCUAAUCGAAUCAAACAGUUCUUUAUUUAUAAGUGUUAAAUUUAGACCUUAUGAUCUUUUACAAAGGUUUGAGGAUGCACUUGGAGGACUGAUAGCUUGGCCUUGUCAUUUGGUGACAGGUACUUGGAUUUUGCAUAUGAUGGUUGAAGAUGGUUGAUAGUAAAUUAGUUGGUUUUUUAUUUUAUAAGACUUUGUUAGUUUUAAAACUCAAUGAUUUGUUAGUAUUUAGUUAACAUUGGAUUCAAUGCUUUUACAUUAGUAAUGCAUUUGUAUUUUUGUGAUGAUGGGAUGAAUUAUAUAUGAUGAUAUGACGAAUGGAUUGGAUAUUUUGGAUAUAAAACAUUUUUAUUCUUAUUGUGAUGAUGGUUAAA